UAUCUAUGGUUGAGGAAAAAUUAUCUAUAGGAUCUUUAUUAAUUCCCUCCAUGAUAUUUCAUUUGAGUCCGUCAAAAGAAAUUUUUUUUCUUUAUCAAUACAACAUAUAUCUAAAACCCCUAUUUCUUUCUCAUCCAAAACCCUAUAUCAAAAGCCCUUUAGAUCUACGCUUGUAUCAACGACACAGAGCAUUGUUCAUCAUCUCACGCUUGCUCAAGAAUCAGAGACGUCGCGGUACUGAUAAAUUGAAGGAAAGAUUGUCAUAUAGAAUCGUGUCUAAUUCCAUAGCUGUAAGAAAUUUAGGUGGGCAUCCUUUCAGACCAUCUAUUUUAUUUCAGGAAUUGCUCCUUUUGGUGAUUAUUUGGUUGUUCUAGCUUAUAUUCCUAUCAAAGAUGGAGAGAAGGACUUCAGCAGCACUAUUCCCUCCAGACAGUCCUUAGCAUCCUCUUGCAAUGUAUACGGAUCAAAAGAAAAGAGUUGCCGAAGAAGAGGCUACUUCAAAGAAAAUAGGACUUGGUAUUAGGUUACUAUCACCUUCUACAGAGGAUGCUACAACUGCUGCAAGUGUUAAAUUUGCUCAUAAGUUUGAUAUGAACAUAAGGGAUAAACGGGCCAUGAUAUACUUCGAUUUAAUUUUUUCUGGAUCGUCUAGUUUGUCAAAGCAUUCAGAGCUAGAAUCUAAGAGGAGGAAAAUAAGAGCGUCUUCUGCAUCAAAGAUACUCGCUGGAGAAUUUAAGCGCCCGUCAUGGUCUGAAGCUACUAUUUCAUCUAAGAAAGAUUGUUUGGCUCUUUGAAGCAUUCAGAGCUAGAAUCUAAGUAGAGGAAAAUGCAUUUGCUGCAUCAAAGCUACUGGUUGGAGGACCUAAUCGUCGUGAUUGGAAGCUAUCAUUUCAUCUAUGCUUUCUCCUUCCAACAUUUUAGAUUCUUAGUUAACCUGCCGAUCGAGAAUUGAGUUUAAAAUUUGUUGCUUUUUACUUAUAAUUAGUUGAGUUCCUAAUUGUACAGAGUGGAUGUGUGUUGAGUGAUGUGCUUUGUGCCUGCUUUUAUAGUAUUUGUAUUUUUCAAAGCUGAAUAAAAAUGCAUGUGUUACUUAUCUA